CUCUUGAUGCCUGGAGAGGCAGCUGCCCACUGUUCCUGCUGAGGGAUUUUUCCUGCUCUAUUCCAUUUGGUGGAGUAAGGCACAGUGGCAUUCCUCUUGGCAGCUGAGAUUGGGUCAGGGAUGGGACCUGCCAGAUGUAAUGAAACGACUUUUCCUAGUGAGGUCAACCUGCUAGGAAGAUGGGAGUCUGUGGAUAACCAUCUCGUCUGUCUGAAGCAUAAAGUCGAGACAUGCAAAGCCAAUAAACUGAGGAGACAGAACCUAGCAACAUCAUUCAAGACCUGGAUCCCACCAUCCCUGAAGCCAGUGAAUACCCUGUAUUCCACAAUCAUGCAACCCAAUAAAGUCCUCUUUUGCAGCCG
rnacentral:lncRNA from 1 species